GAACGCACCUUGCGCUCCUUGGUAUUCCGAGGAGCAUGCCUGUUUGAGUGUCAUGGUCUUCUCAACCCUCUUGUCUUUUUUGAAUAAAAAGAGGCAGCUGGGCUUGGACUUGGAGGUUUUUGCCGGUGUUCUUGAACACGGGCUCCUCUGAAAUGCAUUAGCUUGAAUGUGACCGAGCAUGGUUCAACGUGAUAAUUGUCUGCGUUGCUUCAUCUCAGUCUUCAUCUUGUUCAGGCUUCUAACCGUCCGUAAGGACAACAUCAUCUGAACAUCUGACCUCAAAUCAGGUAGGACUACCCGCUGAACUUAAG
rnacentral:misc_RNA from 1 species